rnacentral:rRNA from 1 species
GACGAACGCUGGCGGCGUGCUUAACACAUGCAAGUCGAACGGAAAGGCCAUGAUUUUGUGGGGUGCUCGAUAGGCGAACGGGUGAGUAACACGUGAGUAAACUGCACUUGACUUUGGGAUAACUUCUGGAAACUGGGGCUAAUAUCGGAUAGGAGCUCCUGCUGCACGGGGGGGGAUGGAAAGAUUCGGCGGUUGGGGAUGGAAUCGCGGCUUAUCAGCUUGUUGGUCGGGUAGUGGUUUACAACGGCUGUGACGGAUAGCCGGCCUGGGAGGGUGACCGGGCUCAUUGGGACUGAGAUACGGAGCAGACGCCUACGUGAGGCAGCGGGCGGGAAUAUGGCACAACAGGCGGAAGUCUGAGGCAGCAACGCCGCGUGCGUGAUGACGGCCUUCGGGUUGUAAACAGCUUUGUCCGGUGACGAAGCGAGAGUGACGGUAAUGAGUAAAGAAGCACCGGCUAACUACGUG